GACGAACGCUGGCGGCGUGCCUAACACAUGCAAGUCGAACGGGGUGAUCCUUCGGGGUCACUUAGUGGCGAACGGGUGAGUAACGCGUGAGAAACCUGCCUCUCAGUGGGGGACAACAGUUGGAAACGACUGCUAAUACCGCAUAAUGUAUCCGGAGGGCAUCCUCUGGAUACCAAAGCUUUAUGUGCUGAGAGAUGGUCUCGCGUCUGAUUAGCUAGUUGGCGGGGUAACGGCCCACCAAGGCGACGAUCAGUAGCCGGUCUGAGAGGAUGAACGGCCACAUUGGGACUGAGAUACGGCCCAG
rnacentral:rRNA from 1 species